GCCAGAGGUUAUUGUUUUUUUGUUUGUUAAGGUUGAUUGUUUCAAACUAUGUUUUGUUUCUUUGUUGUAAUCCAAACACAGGAUUAUGAGAAAAAAAACUGCAGCUGAGAUAUUUACUGAUGCCUGAUAUAAAAUAAAUCUUUGCCAAAAUGGAGGACCAGACGGUGGACGAAGCAAAGAGAUUUUCUGUUCGAAGCUUGAUAUACAGUGGAUAAAGUUGUGAAGCCAUCCUUCCCAAUUCCUCCCAGGUGUGAGAUCUUCAGCAAGAAUGGCUGCUGCCAUCAGGAUGCAAUAUGUGGCCACCCGAAUGCUGAAGACCAGGGUACAACAUGUGCAGAUUCCGGAGGAGGACAGAUGGAUUGAAAGACAUACAACAAAAUAGGCCCAACAUGCUGCUGAUCAGUACAGGUAUUACAUAGGGCUAUAUUAAAGAUGAGCAAAUGGGAAUACUUAUUCUACAGUUGAAAGACAGAAGGUGAAGAGAAUUUCAACCAUAUUCUAAUUUGAAAAGGAUCCUUAUGUUUUCUCAGGGGA
rnacentral:lncRNA from 1 species